AGAGUGGUAAGGAAGACUUUAUUCAGUGGAGGCUACUGGAAUGGGAUUUUAUGUAAGGGUCAGAGAGUGGCCUCAAUUCCAAAUACAAGGAAAAGUAUAUUUCAUGGCCAAGGUGCAGGGUGGAGGUCAGUGGAUGAAAAAUUACUAAGAGGAAACCUCAGGGGGCAGGGGGAACUGGCUAAAUGACUGCAGAGAAUUCUCAAUGAAGGCAGGCCAGAGUGGCCAGACAUAAUGUGGGAGAUGCUGCAGGUGGAGGAACCAGAUUAGAAUACGGAGGGUGUUCAGACAUAGAAGAUGGGAGACUCUGGCUAACCUAACUUAGCAGGAUUCUUGCUAGAACUGGCUGCACAAGGAAGCACACAGUCAGAAGGUGCAGUCAGAAAGCUUGGAAGUGCCUGCCCAGAGUUUGGUCAACCUUUGUCCCCUCGCCCCACCCCACCACCUGGAGUGAUAAGUGAGCCAGUUCUCCUCUGAACUCCUGUCGUUCAAACUUCACCUCUCAUAACAUAUUUCACUUUUUGUUUUUACUGCAUUAUUUCAUAUUUUUUGUUUUUUUCUACAAGAAAUAGCACGUUAUUUUUUUCUGAACCCAAUAUAGACGGCUAAGCCCCCACCUACUAGAAUGGUGGAUUAUUGCAAUCUGAAUAGUCACUGUAGGGUCUAUACCCUCUUUGGGAAAUGUUUCCCUAAUACCCACAGCCAACCAGUUUCAAAGAAAUCUACUCUCAGUCCCCCAGAUGGACUCCCUCUGCCUUCUGCGUGCUCUGCUGGCUUGCUCACCACUGUGCAGGUGCCUUUGCUGUCCCCACCUCUGAAAUGCUGGCACUCUUCUGGCCCAGUCACUACUAUGGACCCGUAUGUGUUGUCUCUUUCCCUCACCCGCUGGAAAGGACCACAGGGGCAAAGGCCUUGACCACCUCAGCUUCCUCCCCGAAGGAGGCACUCAAUGCUUCACUGUGCAGUGAAUGGUGGUGCUUGGCACAGACCUGGUUUGACCAGGUGGCACAAAAGGUGAAUGAACGCUUGGCAUUUGAGCCUUUGCCACCUCCCCCUACCACCUCUAGCUUGAACCCAUGCCAGUCAGGGAAGGGGUCUAGUCUCUCGACUCCAAAGCCACCCCCCCCCACAUUGCUUUCUGGGCUGGAACCACAGCAGGCUCUGGGGAUGAAAACAGAAGAUGUGGCCCUGCUCCAGCCAUGUCCACAGCCCAGUGGAAAACAGAGGCAAACUGACCAUUCCAAAGGAACAGACAGAGCUGGUGGAGGGAAACAGGGGCUGCGGGCAUAGGGAGCAAGGAAUUGCCUGGACAGGGUGUGAGUUCAGGGAAGGCUUCCCUAAGGAGGGAAAAUCUGAGCAUCAUGGUCGGGGGGAGUCUGCCUGGAGAACAAGGGCCCAGAGGGCUGUUGGGAUUAGGAGGGGUACCACCAUCAGUGACCCUGGAGGCAAGACUGUCAGAAGCCUCAAGUGAUAGGCUAAGGGACCCAAGGAGCCACUGGAGGACACACACUAUCGAGUUGAGAACAAGAGGGACCAAAGGCAGGGAGACAAGUGCAGGGAGCUAGUCUCAGUUCUGGAAAGAAUCAGCUCUUGGGCCUAGUCUGCUGGGGGAGGGGCUGGCCCCAGAGCUGCCCAGCCGGCUUGGGGACAGGGAACUGGUUUUCCUGGCAGCGAUGAGCUAACAGGAUCUGGUUCCCUCUGAGACGCCCCAGCUUCAGCUCUCUUGCGCCCUCCCCCUACAUUUGGGCCUGGCCUUGGUUUCUGGCACAGCUGCCAAGUUUUGGUACCGCCCACCCACUCCCUGCUGGCUGUACUGGCCGGCCCAGCUCCCUAAUUGCUGGGUGGGGAGCUCUUCUGCAGAGCUGGGACACCAAAAAGUAGACCCCAGCCACUGUGGACCACAUGGGUAUCCAGCCUGACCAGCUCCAGCCCAUGGGGUGAGCCAGGCUUCAGGCUAGCACUGAGCUCUGGAGGGCCCUUCGAGGAACCAUUGACCCAGAAAGCUUGAUUGGGUGGGGUGUGUAAAAUGAGUAUCAAGGCCUGUGAAGAAUAGACCUGCCUAACCCAGGUGUCCCUACUUUCCCUUCCCAGGCAGAGGACCUGGCUCAGGGCUGAGCCCAGAUAGCUCUCAGCAAGGCCCAGGGAUCUGACCUGGCUACAAGCUCUAGUCAAGCCUGGCCAGGACUAAAAGGGGCUGAGAAGGGUGGGAAAGAAUGGAACAGAGGGAGGAGCCCCAACCCAGAAGGCCCAAACACACCCCCUU
ensembl:lncRNA